AUCUUGAAGAGAUAUUUGUGCAUCCAUGUUCAUAACAGCAUUAUUUACAAUAGCCAAAAGGUGGAAGCAACCCAAUUGUCCAUUAAUAAUUGAAUGGGUAACAAAAUGUGGUAUACACAUACCAUAGAAUAUUAUUCAAGCUGAAAAAGGAAGGAAAUUCUGAUACAUGUUACAACAUGAAUGAACCUUGAAAACAUUAUGCUAAGUGAAAUAAGCCAGACACAAAAGGGCAAAUAUGGUAUGAUUCCACUUAGGUGAGGUAUCUAGAAUAAGCAAACUUACAGAUACAUAAAGUAGAUUACAGGUUCCAGCAGUUGGGAGGAGAGGGGAAUGGGGAAUUAUUUAAUGGACACAAUUUCUGUUUGGAAUGAUGAACAGUGGUGAUUGUUCAAUAUUGUGAAUAUACUUAAUGCCACUGAAUUGUACACUUGAGAAUGGUUAAAAUGGGAAAGUUUAUGUUAUGUAUAUUUUACCACAGUAAAAAAUAUAAAGAAAAUGAAAUAGGGUAAUGUGAUGGAGAAUGACUGGUGCAUGUGAUUUUGGUGAGCAAUGUCAAGAAAGGCUCUGAGGUGACAUCUUAACUGAGUUUCACUUAUUACAGCUCUAUAACAAAUUAUCCCAAAACAUAGUGGCAUAAAAUAAUCAGUUUUUGUGGUCAUGGAUUUGUGGGUCAGGAAUUUGGACAGGGCACAGAGGGCAUAGUUGUCUAUGAUGUCUGCCUGGUGCUCAGUUGGAAGGCUUGAAGGCUGGGGUUGAAGUCACCUAUAGGCUCACUCAAUUACAGAUCUGGCAGUUGACCCUGGCUAUCUGCUGAGUCCCUAGUUUUGCUAUAGGCCAAAACAUCCACAGGUUGUCUCCCCAGAUGGCCUGGGCUUUCUCACGGUAUGGUGGCUGGGUUCCAAAGGUGAGCAUCCUGAGAGAGAGUCAGGUAUCAAGUGACAUCUCACUUCUUAUAACCUAGCCAUUGAAGUCACUCACUGGCACUCUGUCAAAUACUAUUCAUGGAUGCAGUAAAAAUGUCCCAACCAGAUUGGGAGGUCGAAUGGGAGAAUAGCCUUCACCUCCUACCAGAGACUAGCAAGGUUCUGGAAGAACAUUUGGGACUGGGAAUAUUGCUGUGGCCAUUUUUGGAAAAUAGAAUCUCCCACAGUUCUGAAGGAUGAGAAGAGGCAACCAUAGAAAGAUCUGGGAGAAAGAGCAUUCCAAGAAGAAGCCACAAAAAAGACCCCUCUCCUGCAGCCUCUCCUGUCUCAGAAAAGGCCUGUCAUCAACUUUUGAGAUCUUUUGUUACUUGUGUUACAAAGCAGGGAUGUUCCCUUUGCCUUAAAGGACUGAUAGAGAUUUUUUUAAAGAAACAGCUCUUUGAGAAAUUUUCCUCGGUCUUUAUUACUGUUCCUUCUUUCUGUAGUUCAGGCAGCUGAGAAAGAGGAUUGUAUAAAUAUCAAACAGGAUGUGGAUAUUCAAAAUCAUGCUUUACUUCAGCUAUUGGCCCUCUGCCCUUCACAUUUGCUACAAAUCCACUUUCACGUCUUUUCUACAAGUUAUUGACCCGUCAUGCAGAAACCACCCAUAACUGCCUGUUUCCUUUUUUGAUAGUUGACUGCUGACAGCUUUCAAGCCACCCCUUCUUCCUUUCUAUACUACAUCUGGACAGCUGAUAAGAAAACUUGGAUGCUCUCUCCCUUGGUGUCCUAGCAAGGUGGGGGUGGGAGUUGUUCAAACUAUAUAACCUCUACCUUGCAUGGGAAACCCUUAUCCCAGUCCAGUCCCCUAACCACCAUAAAACUCUAAGCUAGAAACCCCUCCCUGCUUUCUCUCAAUACAUUUUCGGACUAGUUUGGGAACCUGCCAUACUUUACCUAUGAGUCUCAUUGUGUGAAUAAUAAACCUUCUUACUCUUUUGGUGUGUGUGGAGUUAUCAGUCUUGACAUCUAAACCCAAUUUUGGGUGAUUGUGGGGCAUCCAUCCUGCCAUCCCACCACCCCAAUGUGAGUCCUUGAUUAAGCACAGCUCAUGAUUUCAACCGGAAAUCUUCACACACAGAUGUUAGGAAUCAAAUUGUUUCCUUAUAGAAAUUCUGGCUCUACUACGAAAGCACAGUGUAAAAUUAAAACCAUGCCUACUUGCUGGAUUGGAACAAGACAUACUGUUAAACCAUGCAUAAUUACUUUGCUUCCUGUUCUUUUAUUCUGUGGUCUAUCAGUACUAGAAAGUGUUGGCAGUUGCUAAAGGUUUAAGAAAUAUGGCAGAAUAAGUUAAUGCUGAGAAAAAAAAUAAAUCCACUAACAUUUCCUCCUGUCAACUAUAAUUAUUAAAUUUUUAUUUCUGUCCAGCUGAUGGUAGAGAGUUGUUCCCAGGAAAAAUAGUUCGAUACAACAAGAGAAAGGUCAGAGACAUGUAUCUAUCUCUGGAUUUAUUGCUGUGAAGAUAAUGUGGUGAGGGGAUGGAAUGGGGGACCAACAUGAAAGACCUCACAGUGGGAUGGGACCUAUAUCUAUAUCCUGUCUUGAACACAUCCUGUGCCUCAGAUAGGCCCCUCCAGGCCAUGGAUGAACCCACCCCUGAAUAGAGGUGAGGGGAUUCAUCUUGAUUGUGGCCUCUGAGAAAUGUAGUUCUGAGGAGAAUAAACAGGGCCAAGGGAAAUCUGGAACGACAGUUCUGAGGAGCUGAUGGCCCCAGCACUGCCCAAGAAGACUGAAAAUUAAAGGAUGGGUCUAUUGGUGAAAUAAGGUAUUUUCAGGGACCUCUUUUGUUUGUGUCAUUAUUUUCUUCACUGCGUCUCUUGGCAGAGUCCCAGCAAGAGAGUAGUACUAUAUUAAUUGAAGAAAGUAUAAACAAAGGUCAGUGGGACGUGAGCAUUUAGCAAUUAUAGAAAAACAUGAAUACUCCUGACCCUGAAAGAGCAAGGGCAAAAGAAAAGUAUAUUCGUUUCCUAUGAACACCGCAAUAAAUUGCCACAAAUAUGGUUGGUUAAAACAACAGAGAUUUAUUCUCAUUAGUUUAAUGCAGAAGUCUGAAUUCAGUUUCACUGGGCCAAAAUCAAGGUGUUGGCAAGUUCCAGGGAAGACACUAUUCCUUGCCUCUUCCAGCUUGUGGUAGUUGCCAGCUUUCCUUGGCUUGUGGCUGCAUCACUCCAAUCUCUGCCUCCAUUGUACCCUCCUCUUCUGUGUCUAUCAGCAAAUCUCUUUCUGCCUUCCCUCUUACAAGAAUACAUGUGCUUGCUUUUAGAGUCCACCCUGCUAACCAGGAUAACCUCCUUAUCUCAAGAUCCUUAAUCAUACCUGCAAAGUCCUUUUUUUGACAAAUAAUAUUCACAGUUUCCAGGGGUUAGUGUAACCAGACCCGGGGGGACGGGGAAUAAUACUGUGACUUGUCUCUUGUCCCACCCUAUGCAGUUAAAAGGGUUCAAAACAUGCCAUCCCAAAAUAUGCUACUCUGGGAUAUUGACUAUUUUGAAUUAAAGGCACUUGAAAUACAGCAGGUGUAAGAAGAUCACUCUGACCUUAAAUGCAGAAGAUAAAAUCCCCAUGUGAAAGAUGUCCUCCCUAUACAAGAAGGAAAAUUUAAUUCUUGUCAUCAAGAAUGAGAAGUUGAGGCUGAGGGAAAUCUAUACAAACCCUGUUAAAUUAAUCCUUAUCUUCCUAGUCACUUCUCCACCCAAUUAACUUCUCUAGCCCAACCCCCUUUGCCUUGUCACAUUUUCACAAGUUACUACUCUUUGUCCAAUUCAGUAUAUAAGUGUUCAACUUUAACUGUUUCCUUUGGUCUUUAUUUCCUUAUGAAGGCUCUGUGCCACAAAAAAACUUGUAUUAAAUAAACGUGCAUGUUUUUCUCCAUUGAUCUGACUUGUGUCAAUUUAAUUCUUAGGCCCAGCCAAACAAACAAACAAACAAGUACCCUAAGAGGAUAGAGGUAAAGUUUGCCCCCCUGCCCACAGAGUCCAUAGAGAUCAGCCUUUUGCUGGGGCUCAGAGGAGAGUAAAGAAUGCACGUGGAGGGGCAAAAAGAAAGAACCAUGCAAAGCUGUAACUAGGUGUGUAAGGAAAUGAGGCACAAUGGGAGUGUCACUGAGGCAAUCUAUCAUCCAUCAACCAUUCACUCAUUUACUUAACAAUAUUUAUUAAACCUUCGAGUUGGGGGCACCAGGCACCAGAGCACUACUGACUGAUGAGAGCUCAGCCCACAAGAAGCUAACAACACAAUCUGAAAAAGAUAAGCACAAACACAGGGCACCCAAAGAUAGAGGAUAGUAAGCAUCCAGAGAGGGACUUAGGUUAAUGUUGCUGAGUGCAGAAAAGAGGGGAAGAACUUGCAGUGAAGCUGAGAAAGACUGCUUUAACCAGGCUGCUUCUCUAAUGACUGCCAGGCUCUGCCAAUAUAAUGAAUACAGCAAAGUAGAAGCAAGUUUGUUGCAAAAGGAAGAGAGGCAAAGAAUGCGAUCUCUAAUAUGUAAUUGUGGAGACAGAGGUCCUAACCCUAUUACGUCUGUAGGUUCAUGUACAUAUGUGUGUGCAUUCAUAACCACAAUAAUCAAUGGAUGGGGUAUUCUGUGUAAGUGACCCAAGAAAGAAAGCAAGGAGGAAACCACAACACCUUUUAUGACUUAGUUUCUGAGGUCACACACUGCCACAUCCACUUUUUUCUAUUCAUUAGAAAGGGAUCACUAAGUCCAGGCUACACUCCAGAGAAGGGAAGUUAAGCUCCACCCUUUGAAGAAAGUAUCAGAGAAUUUGUAAACAUCUUCCAAACCACUACUGUACCUACCUGUUGCGAGGAUUAGAUAAGACAAAACUUAGAACAGUGCUGGGUUCACGCCCUGCUUGUCUGGAGGAAGUUGUCCUGCAUAGAGUCUCAGAACCAGAAUCGGCCUCAAGCAAUGAAGUUCAUCCAAUCUCUUUAUUUACACAUGGGCAAAUUGAGGACCAGAAAAUAAAGGAUGUGUGCAUGAUUAUAUAGAGUUUGGCAAGCAGAGGCUGUCCUGGACUCUUCUCCAGGAUUUCUCAAAGUUCUGAGCCAAGACUGGGACCUCUCAGAUGUGGAGGUUAGCCUUGGAGGAUAUGUGCCAAGAAGCCAUGCAUGGAGAACCUCAAGUAACAUGAUGAUGCCGUCUGUGUUCAGCUUUGCCAAGAACAUGCCUUUCAACUGAAAACAGGGAAGAUAAAAAGCACUACUACUGGGU